UGGAACAAUGUAGGGAAGGGAAUUCGCUAAAAUAGAUCUAUAACUUUGGGAAAAGGAUUGGCUUUGAGGGUUGGGCACGAGGGUCCCAGAACCAAACCCAUCGAUGUCGGUAGACUACUCGAGCUCCUCCAGGAGCGAGAGUGGGUUGCCGCCCGGUGGACAGAUUGGAAUGGUUCCUUCGGGGCCCUUUCCCAAGCUAUAAACAGCCAACUCAAAACUAGUACAAACAAGGGGAAUCCGACUGUUCAAUUAAAACAAAUGAUUUCGAUGGUCCCAACGCAUGUUUACACAAUGUGAUUUCUCCCUGGUGUUUUGAAUUUCAAAGUGAAGAAAUUCAACCAAGAGUGGGUAAAUGACGAGAGUAACUAUGACUCUCUUAAAGUAGCCAAAUGCCUCGUAAUCUAAUUAGUGAUGCACAUGAAUUGAUUAACAGCAUUCUUACUGUGUCUACUAUCCAAUGAAACCACAACCAAGGGAACAUGCUUUGUAGAAUCUGCCGGGAAAGAAGACCGUGUUGAGCUUGACUAGGUCCGACUUUGUGAAAUGACUUGAGAGGUGUAGUAAAAGUGGGCGCGGAAAGGCGAAAACAAAAUACAACUACUUUUAAUGUUAUUUUACUUAUUCUAUGAAUCAGAAGCGGGGUGUUGCUUCUCAUUAUGGAUCUAAGGUUUGCUUCACGGGCCGAUCCGAGUGGAAGACAUUGUCACGUGGGGGAGUUUGGCUGGGCGGCACACUUGUUUAAAGAUAAUACAUGUGUCCUAAGAUGAGCUCAAAGAGAAAAAAUCUCAUAUGGAUAGAAGGGUAAAAUCCCACUUAAUUCUGAUUUCCAUUACGAAUACGAACUAUGGAAGAGUGGCCUAAUGAUGCUUUAGACCUUCAAAAUUGGAAGCUAGAGGUGUUAGAAAAGUUACCACAUGGAUAAAUGGCUUAUGGCAGCCAAGCGUUCAUAGAGACAUUUUUUUAUCCUUCGAUGUCCGCUCUUCCUAUCAUUGUGAAGCAGAAUUCACCAAGUGUUGGAUUGUUCACCCACCAAUAGGGAAUGUGAGCCAGGUUUAAACUGUUGUGAGGCAGGUUUAACCUACUGAUGACAGUGUCACAAUAGUAAUUAAACCUAGUACGAGAGGAACUGUUGAUUCACACAAUUGGUCAUCGCACUAGGUAAAAAAGCCAGAGGUGUAAAUCUACCAUGUGCUGGAUUAAGACUGAACGCCUCUAAGUAAGAAUCUGGGAUAAAAGGUUCCACGUACUGACCCAUAGUAGGGAGUUAUAGCCCCCAUGGGCACUUGUCGUUGGCUAAAUUAUCGUAAUUAAAGCAUCGUGGUGACCGCCUUGAUGUAUAAUUUCCAUCGAGCAACGGGUAGAAUCCUUUGGAGAUAAAUGAAAUAUGCUACGGGGUAUUUUAAGUGACAGAGUGGCCUAGCUACUACCAUGAAACACUGAGAUUCAGCCCUUUUUCACUCUGAUUC
rnacentral:ncRNA from 1 species